AGGAAUAUUGGUCAAUGGGCGUUAGCCUGAACCAGCCAAGUAGCGUGAAGGAUGAAGGCUCUAUGGGUCGUAAACUUCUUUUAUAUAAGAAUAAAGUGCAGUAUGUAUACUGUUUUGUAUGUAUUAUAUGAAUAAGGAUCGGCUAAUUCCGUGCCAGCAGCCGCGGUAAUACGGAGGAUCCGAGCGUUAUCCGGAUUUAUUGGGUUUAAAGGGAGCGUAGGUGGACUGGUAAGUCAGUUGUGAAAGUUUGCGGCUCAACCGUAAAAUUGCAGUUGAUACUGUCAGUCUUGAGUACAGUAGAGGUGGGCGGAAUUCGUGGUGUAGCGGUGAAAUGCUUAGAUAUCACGAAGAACUCCGAUUGCGAAGGCAGCUCACUGGACUGCAACUGACACUGAUGCUCGAAAGUGUGGGUAUCAAACAGGAUUAGAUACCCUGGUAGUCCACACAGUAAACGAUGAAUACUCGCUGUUUGCGAUAUACAGUAAGCGGCCAAGCGAAAGCAUUAAGUAUUCCACCUGGGGAGUACGCCGGCAACGGUGAAACUCAAAGGAAUUGACGGGGGCCCGCACAAGCGGAGGAACAUGUGGUUUAAUUCGAUGAUACGCGAGGAACCUUACCCGGGCUUAAAUUGCAGUGGAAUGAUGUGGAAACAUGUCAGUGAGCAAUCACCGCUGUGAAGGUGCUGCAUGGUUGUCGUCAGCUCGUGCCGUGAGGUGUCGGCUUAAGUGCCAUAACGAGCGCAACCCUUAUCUUCAGUUACUAACAGGUCAUGCUGAGGACUCUGGAGAGACUGCCGUCGUAAGAUGUGAGGAAGGUGGGGAUGACGUCAAAUCAGCACGGCCCUUACGUCCGGGGCUACACACGUGUUACAAUGGGGGGUACAGAAGGCAGCUAGCGGGUGACCGUAUGCUAAUCCCAAAAUCCUCUCUCAGUUCGGAUCGAAGUCUGCAACCCGACUUCGUGAAGCUGGAUUCGCUAGUAAUCGCGCAUCAGCCACGGCGCGGUGAAUACGUUCCCGGGCCUUGUACACACCGCCCGUCAAGCCAUGGGAGCCGGGGGUACCUGAAGUACGUAACCGCAA
rnacentral:rRNA from 1 species